rnacentral:lncRNA from 1 species
CGAUCGGCUCCGUUAGACUUGAUCUAGUGUAUUUGAAGUAUUUAGAAAAUAAAUUUUGCGAUUUUUCGAUAUCAUUUAUCUAACAAUCGAAAGUGUUCAAAAUCAACGGCUGAAAAUAAAUAUCUCACAAAAAGUGAUAAUAUAGCACUAAAAUUUUCAAUCAGAGAUAUUGAUCUUGUUGUGAAUAAUAUAAAAAAUUUUCUAUCAAAAUUUUAUCUGAUUUAAAUAUUUCUAUAUCAUUAAACUUGCAAACGGUAUACAUCAACCAUUAAAAAUUAUUGAUUCUGAACCUUUUUGAUUGCUAGGUAAAUGAUAUCGAAAAAUCACAAAAUUUAUUUUCUAAAUACUUCAAAUACGCUAGAUCAAGACUAACGGAGCCGAUCGUCAAUUCGAAAACUCUAUCAUUGAAAAGGGCUUAGAAGUACAAAGGCCUCCGUGCUCCUAAUAGCACAUAAGAUCUACUAUAUAUAUAACUGAUCAUCCCUAGCGCAAGUGGCAAAGGGCUUGGUGGUUGGUAUUCGAGGUCCGAAGUUCGAAUCCUAGUUGAUUCACAUUUUUAGCUAAGUUUAUUUUUAAAUGAAAUAAACGAAGCGGGUAGCAUGCUACCUAUCUCUCCCGAAAAAAAAAAAAAAAAUCUACUAUAUAUACUACUAUAUAUAUAUAUAGAGAGAGAGAGAGAGAGAGAGAGAGAGAGAGAGAGAAAGUUGGGUUGGAAUACUAUUGAUAGUAUUUGCUCCAUUUUACUAUCAAAUUUUUAUCCUUUGGAUGAGAAAUUGUAGGAUUAGUAUGAUAUUAGUCUUUUAGGAUUGAUUGAGUGAUCCUUCUAGGGUUGAGUGGUCAUCACUAGGCUAUAAUAUUUAAUCAAAUGAUUAGAAAUGAUCAAAGAAAUUGAUCUAAAAGUUAAAAACUUGAUAGCAAAAUGAGACAAAUACUAUUAAUAUUAUUCUAGCCCAACUCUCUCUCUCUCUCUCUAUAUAUAUAAUGUAAAAUAAUUUCGGGUUAGGAUUGUGUUCGGAGUCAAAUCAGGUACAAUCAAAAUCCAUACUUGAAUUUAAUUUCGUUGGAUUUUUAUUUUUUUAAUCUAUAUCUGAAACUAUAUCUAUUUAGUAUCGAAUAAAUUCACUCUGUUCGAAUUCAGAUUCGGAUAAAAUUUCGAAUAUCCAUAUGCAUCGACAUUCCUACCUCUCUCUCCUUACCCUUUCCUCUCCCUUCACCUUCCCUCAUCCUCCCCAAUCUGUUGACGACCU